GCAGCCUACAAAGUGAUAAUCAGGGGUACAUUUAUCUACCUCGCAACCCUACGAAAGUAAAGAAAGAGCCUCAGGCUUACUCAGUUACUAGGCGCCCUCCGCAGCAUCGAGCUUCAACAUAAAUCCAAUCCUACCGACGACACCCUAGAUGGACUGUGGGAAACCCAGCACACCAUCAGCUCCUCGACGAUACGGCACGAUCCAUCACAUGAUCUAGGUGGAAUUUUU